GAUCAUGGCUCAGGACGAACGCUGGCGGCGCGCCUAACACAUGCAAGUCGAACAGAGCUUGAAGAGCUUGCUUUUUAAGCUUAGUGGCGAACGGGUGAGUAACGCGUGAGUAACCUGCCCUGAAGUGGGGGACAACAGUUGGAAACGACUGCUAAUACCGCAUAAGCCCACGGCCCGGCAUCGGGCUGCGGGAAAAGGAUUUAUUCGCUUCAGGAUGGACUCGCGUCCAAUUAGCUAGUUGGUGAGG
rnacentral:rRNA from 1 species